CUCCCAAUGGCAUAACUGGUUCUGCACC
rnacentral:piRNA from 1 species